ACGCUCGACACCUACGGAGGCAGCAGUAGGGAAUCUUCCACAAUGGGCGCAAGUCUGAUGGAGCAACGCCGCGUGAGUGAAGAAGGUUUUCGGAUCGUAAAGCUCUGUUGUUGGUGAAGAAGGAUAGAGGUAGUAACUGGCCUUUAUUUGACGGUAAUCAACCAGAAAGUCACGGCUAACUACGUGUCAGCAGCCGCGGUAAUCUGAGCGGGCUGGCAAGGC
rnacentral:rRNA from 1 species